GGUAGUGUGCUGCAGUGGUUUGAGCAUUGCACUACGACUCUGGAGACCAGGGUUUGAAUCCCUGCUUGGCCA